rnacentral:rRNA from 1 species
UACGGGGGGAGCAAGCGUUGUUCGGAUUUACUGGGCGUAAAGGGCGCGUAGGCGGCCACCGCAAGUCGGUUGUGAAAUCUCCGGGCUUAACCCGGAAAGGUCAAUCGAUACUGCGGGGCUAGAGUGCAGAAGGGGCAACUGGAAUUCUCGGUGUAGCGGUGAAAUGCGCAGAUAUCAGGAGGAACACCAGUGGCGAAGGCGGUGCUCUGGGCCGGAACUGACGCUGAGGAGCGAAAGCGUGGGGAGCAAACAGG